GAUGAGAGGAUUGACUCUGCUUAAAGGGAGAGACGGAGAGUGUUGCAAAGAAUUGGUUUUGGGUCUCAUGUUCUCUGCAUGUGGUGAUUGAACUUCGUCGACGAGAGAGACAGAGCACCUUUCUUCGUUUCAAAAAGGGUACUUGCUGGGUUUCUUUCAAAGAUUAUCUCCAAACUCAAUCUAGAUCUUUGUAUGUGACUGGUUAUGGGGUUGGGUGAUGCAGAGGUUACUGAGAUUGUUAUGGAUUUUGGAGCUUCUGGAUUUACAAUCAGAAUGAACGCACUAUCGAAACAAUUUGAAGCUAGAACAGGCGAAGGAAGGUCAUAAGUGUUUUUGGACCCACAAUGGCUUCGUACUCAGAAGUUACCUUGAAUGUUUGUUUGGGCAAGCAAAUUACUGGUGGUCAAUUGGUGUAUUUUCGAGGUGUUCAAUUUGAUAAUCAUGUGAAUUUGGAGACACUCUUAGAGGUGUUUGAUCAAUGGUCCGUCGUGGUAUCUUGCAUUCUACAUAUUGACAAGCCCCUUCUUGACACUGAGGACCAAAACCAAGUUUGUCUUUGCAAGCCCAGGAAAAACUGCAGAGACCCCUUUCAAGUACAUUUCUGCUGAGCAUGUUCCUAGCCAAUAUGGAGGUUUGAGUGUGGAUUAUUGUGAUGGCAAAAUGGAAUUCACGAUUGCUGAUCCAGUGUCUAAAGUAACCAUCAAACUGGGGAUGAAGAAGACUCUGGAAAUUAUAAUUUAUGAGAAAUGAUGCUAGGAUUUCUCAAUUGGCAAGUGUAAAUGAAGGAAUAAUAUACAAGGGAAGGUGGACUGCAAGCAAAAGCUAAUUGUUUAUUGAAGAACCCAGCAACUAUUGUUAACAAUAUUUAAGGCUUUGUACCAUUGUAGUCUAGGUUUACAAGCUUUUGUCUGAAAUAAUGAUUAAAAGGUGAAAAUUGCAAGGCAUUAUGAGAAAUGAUGCCAUGGCUGUUUCUGUUGCAGAGGCCAAAAGUACUCCAUCAUUUUUUUGUAAAUUGUAUAUUGAUAUAAAUGUGAAGAUUUGAGUAUUGGUAUUAAAUAUAUACCAAUUGAUUGACC